AUUGACCGCUGCCGGCAGGCCUAACACAUGCAAGUCGAACGAGUGGCGGACGGGUGAGUAAUGUCUGGGAAACUGCCCGAUGGAGGGGGAUAACUACUGGAAACGGUAGCUAAUACCGCAUACCAUCGGAUGUGCCCAGAUGGGAUUAGCUAGUAGGUGGGGUAACGGCUCACCUAGGAGACUAUCCCUAGCUGGUCUGCUAGGAUGACCAGCCACAAUGGAACUGAGACCCGGUCCAGACUCCUACGGGAGGCAGCAGUGGGGAAUAUUGCACAAUGGGCGCAAGCCUGAUGCAGCCAUGCCGCGUGUAUGAAGAAGGCCUUCGGGUUGUAAAGUACUUUCAGCGAGGAGGCGUUACUCGCAGAAGAAGCACCGGCUAACUCCGUGCCAGCAGCCGCGGUAAUAC
rnacentral:rRNA from 1 species